AGUCUGGUGCCGCUGGGCCCACACACCUGGGAGCACUCCCUGGCUGCCCACACCCUGUUCCUUUCAAGAAUUUGGGUUGUGUUUUCUUCUUUCUUGACAAUUAGUAUAAGGGCAGAAGGGACAGGCAUUUCAUGAGCAUUUCAAGCCCCUGCUUGGGUGAAGUCUGUUAAUGCUCAUUGGCCAACAUCAAUGGGGAGAGAAGUAUGCUUCUGUCAUGGAGGUUAAAGAGAAUAGAGUGAAUCUUUGAUAGACCAUAAUCCAAUCUCCCACAGCAAGGAGAGUAUACAAACCACAUCUUAAGUCUGGAUCGGCCUGGGAUUUUUCUGCCCCUUGACAGCAGCAGCUGCCUUGCCCUUUGCCCAAGGGAGUCCACUCUGCUGCUUCCUGAGUGUCCUCAUUCCUGGUCACUGCACGAUUGUCCUUAAAUGGUGUUAGCUAUUUGGACAUGGGCUAAAUGCUACUCCCCAUGCAUGUUUGCUCACCUGUUCCAUUUCUGUGUCUAGGCAGGUUGGCUGAGCCUGUGGCUUCUCUCUAGAGCUUCCACUGCAUCUUACUGAAUUUCUUAGGAAGUAGUUGACACAAUUGACUACACUGAUUUCUGCAAGGUCCCCUAAAUCAUUUCAGAAUGCAUGGGGAUUGACUCCCAAGAGACAAAAGGGAAGAACUUAAUGCACAGUGCACUAAGCAGCAAAGUAGUUUUGCCUCCUUGAGCCUAUUCAAGGUUCUCUGUCACACCUUGAAUCAGCCAAGAUCAAAUUUUAGUGUUCGUCACUUGUAAAUGUAGUAGACACAA
rnacentral:lncRNA from 1 species